CCCUUGGUGGUGUAGAUGGUUAUCGCGUUCGACUGUAAUUGUUGUAAAAAUCUUGUAAUCGAAAUGUCGCCGGUUCGAUUCCGGCCCGAGGGA
rnacentral:tRNA from 1 species